rnacentral:misc_RNA from 1 species
UCCGGUUUGUCACCGGCAGUUUCAUUAAAGUGCCCAACUGAAUGAUGGCAAUUAAUGACAAGGGUUGCGCUCGUUGCGGGACUUAACCCAACAUCUCACGACACGAGCUGACGACAGCCAUGCAGCACCUGUGCAGGUGCCCCGAAGGGAGACCGUGUUUCCACGGCUGUCACCUGCAUGUCAAGCCUAGGUAAGGUUCUUCGCGUUGCGUCGAAUUAAACCACAUGCUCCGCUGCUUGUGCGGGUCCCCGUCAAUUUCUUUGAGUUUUAACCUUGCGGCCGUACUCCCCAGGCGGGGUGCUUAAUGCGUUAGCUUCGGCACGGACGGGGUUGAUAUCCGCCCACACCUAGCACCCAACGUUUACGGCUAGGACUAC